UCUAAGGAGACUGCCGGUGCAAACCGGAGGAAGGUGGGGAUGACGUCAAGUCAUCAUGGCCCUUACGGCCUGGGCUACACACGUGCUACAAUGGUCGGUACAAAGGGUUGCCAAGCCGCGAGGUGGAGCUAAUCCCAUAAAACCGAUCGUAGUCCGGAUCGCAGUCUGCAACUCGACUGCGUGAAGUCGGAAUCGCUAGUAAUCGUGAAUCAGAAUGUCACGGUGAAUACGUUCCCGGGCCUU
rnacentral:rRNA from 1 species